rnacentral:rRNA from 1 species
CUAAAACGUCCGUAGCCGGUUUGGUACAUUCGUGGGUAAAUCAACCAGCUCAACUGGUUGAAUUCUGCGAGCACUGCCAGACUUGGGACCGGGAGAGGUGUGGGGUACUCUCAGGGUAGGGGUAAAAUCCUGUCAUCCUGAGAGGACCACCUGUUGCGAAGGCGCCACACUAUAACGGAUCCGACGGUCAGGGACGAAACCUAGGGGCACGAACCGGAUUAGAUACCCGGGUAGUCCUAGGUGUAAACGCUGUGGACUUGGUGUUGGGGAUUCUCCGAGGGUCCUCAGUGCCGAAGCGAAGGUGAUAAGUCCACUGCCUGGGGAGUACGGUCGCAAGGCUGAAACUUAAAGGAA